GAAUCUGCCAAAAGGACUGGGACAACCACUGGAAACGGUGGCUAAUACCGGAUGAGCCGCAACGUAAAAGAGGAAACUCGCCUUUUGAAGAGCUCGCGUCUGAUUAGCUAGUUGGUGAGGUAAAGGCUCACCAAGGCGGCGAUCAGUAGCUGGUCUGAGAGGAUGAUCAGUCACACUGGGACUGAGACACGGCCCAGACUCCUACGGGAGGCAGCAGUGGGGAAUUUUCCGCAAUGGGCGAAAGCCUGACGGAGCAAGACCGCGUGAGGGAGGAAGGCUCUUGGGUUGUAAACCUCUUUUGUCAGGGAAGAACACAAUGACGGUACCUGAAGAAUCAGCAUCGGCUAACUCCGUGCCAGCAGCCGCGGUAAUACGGAGGAUGCAAGCGUUAUCCGGAAUGAUUGGGCGUAAAGCGUCCGCAGGUGGCUUUGCAAGUCUGCUGUCAAAGCUCAGGGCUUAACCCUGAAUCGGCGGUGGAAACUGAAAGGCUAGAGUGUGGUAGGGGCAGAGGGAAUUCCCAGUGUAGCGGUGAAAUGCGUAGAGAUUGGGAAGAACACCAGUGGCGAAAGCGCUCUGCUAGACCGCAACUGACACUCAUGGACGAAAGCUAGGGGAGCG
rnacentral:rRNA from 1 species